AACCUGCCCAUCAGAAGGGGAUAACAUUUGGAAACAGGUGCUAAUACCGUAUAACAAUCAAAACCGCAUGGUUUUGAUUUGAAAGGCGCUUUCGGGUGUCGCUGAUGGAUGGACCCGCGGUGCAUUAGCUAGUUGGUGAGGUAACGGCUCACCAAGGCCACGAUGCAUAGCCGACCUGAGAGGGUGAUCGGCCACAUUGGGACUGAGACACGGCCCAA
rnacentral:rRNA from 1 species